UGCCCUAGUAACGGCGAGUGAAGCGGCAACAGCUCAAAUUUGAAAUCUGGCGUCUUUGGCGUCCGAGUUGUAAUUUGCAGAGGGCGCUUUGGCAUUGGCAGCGGUCCAAGUUCCUUGGAACAGGACGUCACAGAGGGUGAGAAUCCCGUACGUGGUCGCUAGCCUUUACCGUGUAAAGCCCCUUCGACGAGUCGAGUUGUUUGGGAAUGCAGCUCUAAAUGGGAGGUAAAUUUCUUCUAAAGCUAAAUACUGGCCAGAGACCGAUAGCGCACAAGUAGAGUGAUCGAAAGAUGAAAAGCACUUUGGAAAGAGAGUUAAAAAGCACGUGAAAUUGUUGAAAGGGAAGCGCUUGCAGCCAGACUUGCCUGUAGUUGCUCAUCCGGGUUUUUACCCGGUGCACUCUUCUAUAGGCAGGCCAGCAUCAGUUUGGGCGGUUGGAUAAAGGUCUCUGUCAUGUACCUCUCUUCGGGGAGAACUUAUAGGGGAGACGACAUGCAACCAGCCUGGACUGAGGUCCGCGCAUCUGCUAGGAUGCUGGCGUAAUGGCUGUAAGCGGCCCGUCUUGAAACACGGACCAAGGAGUCUAACAUCUAUGCGAGUGUUUGGGUGUCAAGCCCGAGCGCGUAAUGAAAGUGAACGGAGGUGGGAACCUUUCGGGGUGCACCAUCGACCGAUCCUGAUGUCUUCGGAUGGAUUUGAGUAAGAGCAUAGCUGUUGGGACCCGAAAGAUGGUGAACUAUGCUUGAAUAGGGUGAAGCCAGAGGAAACUCUGGUGGAGGCUCGCAGCGGUUCUGACGUGCAAAUCGAUCGUCAAAUUUGGGCAUAGGGGCGAAAGACUAAUCGAAC
rnacentral:rRNA from 1 species